rnacentral:rRNA from 1 species
UACGGAGGGAGCUAGCGUUAUUCGGAAUUACUGGGCGUAAAGCGCACGUAGGCGGCUUUGUAAGUAAGAGGUGAAAGCCCAGAGCUCAACUCUGGAAUUGCCCUUUUAGACUGCAUCGCUUGAAUCAUGGAGAGGUCAGUGGAAUUCCGAGUGUAGAGGUGAAAUUCGUAGAUAUUCGGAAGAACACCAGUGCGGAAGGACG